rnacentral:rRNA from 1 species
CCUGGUUGAUCCUGCCAGUAGUCAUAUGCUUGUCUCAAAGAUUAAGCCAUGCAUGUGCAAGUAUUAACUAAUUCAGACUGUGAAACUGCGAAUGGCUUGUUAAAUCAAUUAUAGUUUGUUUGAUGGUACCUACUACUCGGAUAAUCAUAGUAAUUCUAGAGCUAAUACAUGCAACAUUCCCCGACUUCCGGAAGGGAUGCAUUUAUUAUAUAAAAGGCCGACGCGGGCUCGCCCCGCCGUUCUGAUGAUUCAUGAUAACUCGACGGAUCGCAUGGCCCUCGUGCCAGCGACGCAUCAUUCAAAUUUCUACCCUAUCAACUUUCAAUGGUAGGAUAAGGGCCUACCAUGGUGGUGACGGGUGACGGGUGACGGAGAAUUAGGGUUCGAUUUUGGAGAGGGAGCCUGAGAAACGGCUACCACAUCCAAGAAAGGCAGCAGGCGCGCAAAUUACCCAAUCAUGACACGGGGAGAUAGUGACAAUACAUAACAAUACGGGGCCCUUCGGGUCUGGUAAUUGGAAUGAGUACAAUCUAAAUCGCUUAAUGAGGAUCCAUUGGAGGUCAAGUCUGGUGCCAGCAGCCGCGGUAAUUCCAGCUACAAUAGUGUAUAUUUAAGUUGUUGCAGUUAAAAAGCUCAUAGUCGGUCCUUGGGCCGGGCCAGUCGGUCCGCCUCCCGGUGUGCACCGGCCGUUCUAUCCCCUUUGCCGGUGUUACUUUGAAGAAUUUAGAGUGCUCAAAGCAAGCCCAUGCUCUGGAUACAUUAGCAUGGGAUAACAUCAUAGCAUUCCGGUCCUAUUGUGUUCGCCUUCGGGAUCAGAGUAAUGAUUAAGAGGGACAGUCAGGGGCAUUCAUAUUUCAAAGUCAGAGAUGAAAUUCUUGGAUUUAUGAAAUAUGAACCACUGCGAAAGCAUUUGCCAAGGAUGUUUUCAUUGAUCAAGAAUGAAAGUUGGGGGAUCGAAGACGAUCAGAUACGGUCCUAGUCUCAACCAUAAAUGAUGCCGACUAGGGAUCAGUGGAUGUUGCUUUUAGGACUCCACCGGCACCUUAUGAGAAAUCAAAGUCUUUGGGUUCUUGGGGGAGUAUGGUCGCAAGGAUGAAACUUGGAAUUGACGGAAGGGCACCACUAGGAGUGGAGCCUGCGGCUUAAUUUGACUCAACACGGAGAAACAUACCAGGUCCAGACAUAGCAAGGAUUGACUGACUGAGAGCUCUUUCUUGAUUCUAUAGGUGGUGGUUCAUGGCCGUUUUUAGUUGGUGGAGCGAUUUGUCUGGUUAAUUCCGAUAACGAAUGAGACCUUAGCUUGCUAACUAGCUAUGUGGAGGAAUCCCUUCGCGGACAGCUUCUUAGAGUGGCUGUGGCCGUUUAGGCCACGAAAGUUUUUGGCAAUAACAGGUCUGUGAUGCCCUUAGAUGUUCUGGGCCGCACGUGCGCUACACUGAUGUAUUCAACGAGUCUAUAGCCUUGGCCGAGAGGCUUGGGUAAACUUGUAAAAUUUCAUCGUGAUGGGGAUAGAUCAUUGCAAUUGUUGGUCUUCAAUAAGGAAUUCCUAGGAAGCAUGAGUCAUCAGCUCGCAUUGACUACGUUCCUGCCCUUUGUACACACCGUUCGUCGCUUCGACUGAUUGAAUAGUUCAGUGAAGUAUUCGGAUCACGGCGAUGGGGGCGGUCUUGCCGCCCGCGACGUUACGAGAAGUCCACUGAACCUUAUCAUUUAGAGGAAGGAGAAGCUGUAACAUGGUUUCCGAAGGUGAACCUACGGAAG